rnacentral:rRNA from 1 species
GGAUGAACGCUGGCGGCGUGCCUAAUACAUGCAAGUAGAACGCUGAAGCUUGGUGCUUGCACCGAGCGGAUGAGUUGCGAACGGGUGAGUAACGCGUAGGUAACCUGCCUGGUAGCGGGGGAUAACUAUUGGAAACGAUAGCUAAUACCGCAUAACAGUAGAURUYGCAUGAYAUYUGCUUGAAAGGGGCAAUUGCUCCACUACCAGAUGGACCUGCGUUGUAUUAGCUAGUUGGUGAGGUAACGGCUCACCAAGGCGACGAUACAUAGCCGACCUGAGAGGGUGAUCGGCCACACUGGGACUGAGACACGGCCCAGACUCCUACGGGAGGCAGCAGUAGGGAAUCUUCGGCAAUGGGGGGAACCCUGACCGAGCAACGCCGCGUGAGUGAAGAAGGUUUUCGGAUCGUAAAGCUCUGUUGUAAGAGAAGAACGAGUGUGAGAGUGGAAAGUUCACACUGUGACGGUAUCUUACCAGAAAGGGACGGCUAACUACGU